GGUGCAGUGAUGAGUUACUGGUGUGGGCAGUGGCGUUGGCUUUUCAUGGUCAUCACCGUGAGCCUUUUUCACCAAUCAAACGACUUUUCCUUCCACUGAGCGCU